UUAAAUUUAGUUUAUAAAAAAUUUAUUAUUUACAUUAAUAAGAAUUAAUAAAGUUAAAAUUUAAA
rnacentral:tRNA from 1 species